AUGGUGAGAGAAAGAAAAAUAAAUCAAAUCCCUUCUCACCAAGUGGACAGACGGUGUGCAGUACCCCUCACAUGGUCUUCCUCAGAGAGGACAGAGGGAUUUCUUUGGAAGGAAAAAACAGUGUCAAUGAAUGAAAAUUUGCUCCUGUUUGUUUUGCAAAAUCAGCGAGGGAAUAAGGGAGGUGGGCUUUCAUUCUCUUUCUUUUUUUUUUUAAAAAAAGGAUUCUCUGAGAAGAGGCAACUCACAACUGUGCCCCUUCGUCUGGCUUUUGCUAACAUCCCUUGCAGCUUCUCCAGGGCUCGCUCUGUGCUUGGGAGCCUGGCGUGUCAGAAGACCAGGGCAGAGCUUUCUGUUGGAUGCGCCCCACACCAUGCAAGUUGUGUCACAGGAGGGGCAUCAUGGAAUCUCAGGAGAGAACGUGGAGAGGCAGCCUACUGGAACUUGCCCUCCAGAAGCUUAUGA
rnacentral:lncRNA from 1 species